rnacentral:misc_RNA from 1 species
UAAUAACCCCUCCGGGCGGCGGCGGUCCCCCCGUGCCGCCGCCCGGGCCUUUGGCGAGGGGAGGUGACCGCCCGGGGCGCUACGGCGCCGGGCCAGGUUUCCCCCGCUUAAACGUGGAAAAGGCUAGCCGGCAGGGCUCCGACCGCAUGGCGACUCGUAAAAACUUCCGACCGUCGCGCAAUGCCUUCGGAGCCGGCCCGGCCUCUAAAACGGGAGGAUGACCCCUCCCAGAC